ACUGUCGGACUAAGAAUGCCUGCACUGUUGUUAUUAUGCGACACCGCUUUGCAAGCAGUGACCCAUACUGUUAUCACUUUGGAUCCGCUCCAUUAUGUGCUCAUUAACCUCGUCGACUUUAGAUUUCCAUGUGACCAAUAUGGCCCCCCUCCCCGGAUCUCCAUUGCACGCCGAACCCGCCGCCGGCCAGAUCCACCUCCUAGCCACCGUCCCAGACCCGCAGCUGCCUCCCCCUGACCUGCACUGCACGUCCAUCUGGCCGGCAUCCUCCCCAGUCCCCACCCCCAGCGGUAUGCAGCCAUCCCUCCUCUUUUCUGUGCCUCACGGUUGCUUGGCUGCUUACGGUGGAAAUGCGUGUGGUGGAUUGCUGCGGGGAGUCGUCAUUGCUGAUGCUAGAUUGCUGUGCGCUGUCGCCAUUGCUUAUGGUGGAAAUGCAUUUUGGAGGGCUAUGCACAGUGUGUUGCUCGAUUGUUAUCCAACAACUUUUUGCUUCAUGCAACUUCAUGAGUUCUGUAACUGGAAUCGAACAGAUGAAGGAGGGCAAUCUGGGAUGCAUAUCACACCAAGAUCUUUUGCGAAAUAGGCGAACAUGAAACGACUGCUGGCAAUAGCUAGUCUGGGUGUGUGCUUGGGUGCCGAAGGUUGCAAGAACCCUGAGCUCAAAUUCUAGGAUAGAGCUGGGCAGAGGUAUGUGAAGAAGCGCUUCAAGCAUAGAUCGGACUCGUUAAAGCAGUACAGAAGAUAGAUGGAACCCAAAUCUUUGACGGUUAUUGGGUCGGAUCCUGGAAGAGGAAUCACUGGGCCAAUGAUGGUUGGUGGAAGAAUCACAUUGCAGUAAUGUCACACCAGGAUCGUAAUUCAUUUCCCAUUAUUUAUCCUUUUUCGUGUAUUAUGAACCGACUCAUUGAUAUUUUGCUGUUAUUUUCAGAGAACCCCAGAGCAUGCCAAGUUCCACAUGGGCCACGGCCAACUUGACUUUGUUGCAUGUUCUAUUCAGGACAGAAAAUGCCACCGGUGAAUCAUCCAUUGUACCUGGAGAGGACUUAGGAAGACAAUGGAGGAUGAUACUCCAACCAGGAUUACUGACGGGUCAGACGACGAUGCACUUGCUGCAUUUGCUGAAGCAUCUUCUUGCAACAAGGCUCCUCCUGCCACGGUUCUGAACCUUUAGGAAGACUUGAUUACAUGAUGACACCAGCAUAUGUGUGCGACUUUGCUCUAGAAAUUGAUUGUCAUAUCUUUGUUCUGCUCCUGAAUAUUUGAAUGAAUGGGUGUUGUCAAGCA